rnacentral:lncRNA from 1 species
AAUAUGACAAAGGAACGGCCAAAAAUAAAAAGAAAGACCUUUCUUUUGAAAAAACAAACAAAUAAAAGGAAUGCAACACGAGGACUUCCCAGGAGGUCACCCAUCCUAGUACUACUCUCGCCCAAGCACGCUUAACUUCAGAGUUCUGAUGGGAUCCGGUGCUUUAGUGCUGGUAUGAUCGCAUCCGACAUACCGUGCGUUCUCCUCCCCUUUAUGCCCGCGCCUCCGUGUACGGCCCGCCCAUAGCUCCUUCGACGGCGCCGCCUAGGAACGCGGAGAAAAUAUGACAAAGGAACGGCCAAAAAUAAAAAGAAAGACCUUUCUUUUGAAAAAACAAACAAAUAAAAGGAAUGCAACACGAGGACUUCCCAGGAGGUCACCCAUCCUAGUACUACUCUCGCCCAAGCACGCUUAACUUCGGAGUUCUGAUGAGAUCCGGUGCUUUAGUGCUGGUAUGAUCGCAUUCGACAUACCGUGCGUUCUCCUCCCCUUUAUGCCCGCGCCUCCAUGUACGGCCCGCCCAUAGCUCCUUCGACGGCGCCGCCUAGGAACGCGGAGAAAAUAUGACAAAGGAACGGCCACGAAUAAAAAGAGAGACCUUUCUUUUGAAAAAACAAACGCCUCCGUGUACGGCCCGCCCAUAGCUCCUUCGACGGCGCCGCCUAGGAACGCGGAGAAAAUAUGACAAAGGAACGGCCAAAAAUAAAAAGAAAGACCUUUCUUUUGAAAAAACAAACAAAAAAAAGGAAUGCAACACGAGGACUUCCCAGGAGGUCACCCAUCCUAGUACUACUCUCGCCCAAGCACGCUUAACUUCGGAGUUCUGAUGGGAUCCGGUGCUUUAGUGCUGGUAUGAUCGCAUCCGACAUACCGUGCGUUCUCCUCCCCUUUAUGCCCGCGCCUCCGUGUACGGCCCGCCCAUAGCUCCUUCGACGGCGCCGCCUAGGAACGCGGAGAAAAUAUGACAAAGGAACGGCCAAAAAUAAAAAGAAAGACCUUUCUUUUGAAAAAACAAACAAAUAAAAGGAAUGCAACACGAGGACUUCCCAGGAGGUCACCCAUCCUAGUACUACUCUCGCCCAAGCACGCUUAACUUCGGAGUUCUGAUGGGAUCCGGUGCUUUAGUGCUGGUAUGAUCGCAUCCGACAUACCGUGCGUUCUCCUCCCCUUUAUGCCCGCGCCUCCGUGUACGGCCCGCCCAUAGCUCCUUCGACGGCGCCGCCUAGGAACGCGGAGAAAAUAUGACAAAGGAACGGCCAAAAAUAAAAAGAAAGACCUUUCUUUUGAAAAAACAAACAAAAAAAAGGAAUGCAACACGAGGACUUCCCAGGAGGUCACCCAUCCUAGUACUACUCUCGCCCAAGCACGCUUAACUUCGGAGUUCUGAUGGGAUCCGGUGCUUUAAUGCUGGUAUGAUCGCAUCCGACAUACCGUGCGUUCUCCUCCCCUUUAUGCCCGCGCCUCCGUGUACGGCCCGCCCAUAGCUCCUUCGACGGCGCCGCCUAGGAACGCGGAGAAAAUAUGACAAAGGAACGGCCAAAAAUAAAAAGAAAGACCUUUCUUUUGAAAAAACAAACAAAAAAAAGGAAUGCAACACGAGGACUUCCCAGGAGGUCACCCAUCCUAGUACUACUUUCGCCCAAGCACGCUUAACUUCGGAGUUCCGAUGGGAUCCGGUGCUUUAGUCCUGGUAUGAUCGCAUCCGACAUACCGUGCGUUCUCCUCCCCUUGAGGCCCGCGCCUCCGUGUACGGCCCGCCCAUAGCUCCUUCGACGGCGCCGCCUAGGAACGCGGAGAAAAUAUGACAAAGGAACGGCCCACAACUAGAAAGAAAGACCUUUCUUUUGAAAAGACAGACAAACAAAAGGAAUGCAACACGAGGACUUCCCAGGAGGUCACCCAUCCUAGUACUACUCUCGCCCAAGCACGCUUAACUUCGGAGUUCUGAUGGGAUCCGGUGCUUUAGUGCUGGUAUGAUCGCAUCCGACAUACCGUGCGUUCUCCUCCCCUUUAUGCCCGCGCCUCCGUGUACGGCCCGCCCAUAGCUCCUUCGACGGCGCCGCCUAGGAACGCGGAGAAAAUAUGACAAAGGAACGGCCAAAAAUAAAAAGAAAGACCUUUCUUUUGAAAAAACAAACAAAUAAAAGGAAUGCAACACGAGGACUUCCCAGGAGGUCACCCAUCCUAGUACUACUCUCGCCCAAGCACGCUUAACUUCGGAGUUCUGAUGGGAUCCGGUGCUUUAGUGCUGGUAUGAUCGCAUCCGACAUACCGUGCGUUCUCCUCCCCUUUAUGCCCGCGCCUCCGUGUACGGCCCGCCCAUAGCUCCUUCGACGGCGCCGCCUAGGAACGCGGAGAAAAUAUGACAAAGGAACGGCCAAAAAUAAAAAGAAAGACCUUUCAUUUUGAAAAAACAAACAAAAAAAAGGAAUGCAACACGAGGACUUCCCAGGAGGUCACCCAUCCUAGUACUACUCUCGCCCAAGCACGCUUAACUUCGGAGUUCUGAUGGGAUCCGGUGCUUUAGUGCUGGUAUGAUCGCAUCCGACAUACCGUGCGUUCUCCUCCCCUUUAUGCCCGCGCCUCCGUGUACGGCCCGCCCAUAGCUCCUUCGACGGCAGCCGCCUAGGAACGCGGAGAAUAUAUGACAAAGGAACGGCCAAAAAUAAAAAGAAAGACCUUUCUUAUGAAAAAACAGACAUACCCAAGGAAUGCAACACGAGGACUUCCCAGGUGCCCAAGCACGCUUAACUUCGGAGUUCUGAUGGGAUCCGGUGCUUUAGUGCUGGUAUGAUCGCAUCCGACAUACCGUGCGUUCUCCUCCCCUUUAUGCCCGCGCCUCCGUGUACGGCCCGCCCAUAGCUCCUUCGACGGCGCCGCCUAGGAACGCGGAGAAAAUAUGACAAAGGAACGGCCAAAAAUAAAAAGAAAGACACUUUCUUUUGAAAAAACAAACAAAAAAAAGGAAUGCAACACGAGGACUUCCCAGGAGGUCACCCAUCCUAGUACUACUCUCGCCCAAGCACGCUUAACUUCGGAGUUCUGAUGGGAUCCGGUGCUUUAGUGCUGGUAUGAUCGCAUCCGACAUACCGUGCGUUCUCCUCCCCUUUAUGCCCGCGCCUCCGUGUACGGCCCGCCCAUAGCUCCUUCGACGGCGCCGCCUAGGAACGCGGAGAAAAUAUGACAAAGGAACGGCCAAAAACAAAAAGAAAGACCUUUCUUUUGAAAAAACAAACGCCUCCGUGUACGGCCCGCCCAUAGCUCCUUCGACGGCGCCGCCUAGGAACGCGGAGAAAAUAUGACAAAGGAACGGCCAAAAAUAAAAAGAAAGACCUUUCUUUUGAAAAAACAAACAAAAAAAAGGAAUGCAACACGAGGACUUCCCAGGAGGUCACCCAUCCUAGUACUACUCUCGCCCAAGCACGCUUAACUUCGGAGUUCUGAUGGGAUCCGGUGCUUUAGUGCUGGUAUGAUCGCAUCCGACAUACCGUGCGUUCUCCUCCCCUUUAUGCCCGCGCCUCCGUGUACGGCCCGCCCAUAGCUCCUUCGACGGCGCCGCCUAGGAACGCGGAGAAAAUAUGACAAAGGAACGGCCAAAAAUAAAAAGAAAGACCUUUCUUUUGAAAAAACAAACGCCUCCGUGUACGGCCCGCCCAUAGCUCCUUCGACGGCGCCGCCUAGGAACGCGGAGAAAAUAUGACAAAGGAACGGCCAAAAAUAAAAAGAAAGACCUUUCUUUUGAAAAAACAAACAAAAAAAAGGAAUGCAACACGAGGACUUCCCAGGAGGUCACCCAUCCUAGUACUACUCUCGCCCAAGCACGCUUAACUUCGGAGUUCUGAUGGGAUCCGGUGCUUUAGUGCUGGUAUGAUCGCAUCCGACAUACCGUGCGUUCUCCUCCCCUUUAUGCCCGCGCCUCCGUGUACGGCCCGCCCAUAGCUCCUUCGACGGCGCCGCCUAGGAACGCGGAGAAAAUAUGACAAAGGAACGGCCAAAAAUAAAAAGAAAGACCUUUCUUUUGAAAAAACAAACGCCUCCGUGUACGGCCCGCCCAUAGCUCCUUCGACGGCGCCGCCUAGGAACGCGGAGAAAAUAUGACAAAGGAACGGCCAAAAAUAAAAAGAAAGACCUUUCUUUUGAAAAAACAAACAAAAAAAAGGAAUGCAACACGAGGACUUCCCAGGAGGUCACCCAUCCUAGUACUACUCUCGCCCAAGCACGCUUAACUUCGGAGUUCUGAUGGGAUCCGGUGCUUUAGUGCUGGUAUGAUCGCAUCCGACAUACCGUGCGUUCUCCUCCCCUUUAUGCCCGCGCCUCCGUGUACGGCCCGCCCAUAGCUCCUUCGACGGCGCCGCCUAGGAACGCGGAGAAAAUAUGACAAAGGAACGGCCAAAAAUAAAAAGAAAGACCUUUCUUUUGAAAAAACAAACAAAUAAAAGGAAUGCAACACGAGGAGUUCCCAGGAGGUCACCCAUCCUAGUACUACUCUCGCCCAAGCACGCUUAACUUCGGAGUUCUGAUGGGAUCCGGUGCUUUAGUGCUGGUAUGAUCGCAUCCGACAUACCGUGCGUUCUCCUCCCCUUUAUGCCCGCGCCUCCGUGUACGGCCCGCCCAUAGCUCCUUCGACGGCGCCGCCUAGGAACGCGGAGAAAAUAUGACAAAGGAACGGCCAAAAAUAAAAAGAAAGACCUUUCUUUUGAAAAAACAAACAAAAAAAAGAAAUGCAACACGAGGACUUCCCAGGAGGUCACCCAUCCUAGUACUACUCUCGCCCAAGCACGCUUAACUUCGGAGUUCUGAUGGGAUCCGGUGCUUUAGUGCUGGUAUGAUCGCAUCCGACAUACCGUGCGUUCUCCUCCCCUUUAUGCCCGCGCCUCCGUGUACGGCCCGCCCAUAGCUCCUUCGACGGCGCCGCCUAGGAACGCGGAGAAAAUAUGACAAAGGAACGGCCAAAAAUAAAAAGAAAGACCUUUCUUUGAAAAAACAAACAAUUCACAGGAAUGCAACACGAGGACUUCCCACGAGGUCACCCAUCCUAGUACUACUCUCGCCCAAGCACGCUUAACUUCGGAGUUCUGAUGGGAUCCGGUGCUUUAGUGCUGGUAUGAUCGCAUCCGACAUACCGUGCGUUCUCCUCCCCUUUAUGCCCGCGCCUCCGUGUACGGCCCGCCCAUAGCUCCUUCGACGGCGCCGCCUAGGAACGCGGAGAAAAUAUGACAAAGGAACGGCCAAAAAUAAAAAGAAAGACCUUUCUUUUGAAAAAACAAACCAAAAAAAAGGAAUGCAACACGAGGACUUCCCAAGAGGUCACCCAUCCUAGUACUACUCUCGCCCAAGCACGCUUAACUUCGGAGUUCUGAUGGGAUCCGGUGCUUUAGUGCUGGUAUGAUCGCAUCCGACAUACCGUGCGUUCUCCUCCCCAUUAUGCCCGCGCCUCCGUGUACGGCCCGCCCAUAGCUCCUUUGACGGCGCCGCUUAGGAACGCGGAGAAAAUAUGACAAAGGAACGGCCAAAAAUAAAAAGAAAGACCUUUCUUUUGAAAAAACAAACAAAUAAAAGGAAUGCAACACGAGGACUUCCCAGGAGGUCACCCAUCCUAGUACUACUCUCGCCCAAGCACGCUUAACUUCGGAGUUCUGAUGGGAUCCGGUGCUUUAGUGCUGGUAUGAUCGCAUCCGACAUACCGUGCGUUCUCCUCCCCUUUAUGCCCGCGCCUCCGUGUACGGCCCGCCCAUAGCUCCUUCGACGGCGCCGCCUAGGAACGCGGAGAAAAUAUGACAAAGGAACGGCCAAAAACAAAAAGAAAGACCUUUCUUUUGAAAAAACAAACAAAAAAAAGGAAUGCAACACGAGGACUUCCCAGGAGGUCACCCAUCCUAGUACUACUCUCGCCCAAGCACGCUUAACUUCGGAGUUCUGAUGGGAUCCGGUGCUUUAGUGCUGGUAUGAUCGCAUCCGACAUACCGUGCGUUCUCCUCCCCUUUAUGCCCGCGCCUCCGUGUACGGCCCGCCCAUAGCUCCUUCGACGGCGCCGCCUAGGAACGCGGAGAAAAUAUGACAAAGGAACGGCCAAAAAUAAAAAGAAAGACCUUUCUUUUGAAAAAACAAACAAAUAAAAGGAAUGCAACACGAGGACUUCCCAGGAGGUCACCCAUCCUAGUACUACUCUCGCCCAAGCACGCUUAACUUCGGAGUUCUGAUGGGAUCCGGUGCUUUAGUGCUGGUAUGAUCGCAUCCGACAUACCGUGCGUUCUCCUCCCCUUUAUGCCCGCGCCUCCGUGUACGGCCCGCCCAUAGCUCCUUCGACGGCGCCGCCUAGGAACGCGGAGAAAAUAUGACAAAGGAACGGCCAAAAAUAAAAAGAAAGACCUUUCUUUUGAAAAAACAAACAAAUAAAAGGAAUGCAACACGAGGACUUCCCAGGAGAUCACCCAUCCUAGUACUACUCUCGCCCAAGCACGCUUAACUUCGGAGUUCUGAUGGGAUCCGGUGCUUUAGUGCUGGUAUGAUCGCAUCCGACAUACCGUGCGUUCUCCUCCCCUUUAUGCCCGCGCCUCCGUGUACGGCCCGCCCAUAGCUCCUUCGACGGCGCCGCCUAGGAACGCGGAGAAAAUAUGACAAAGGAACGGCCAAAAAUAAAAAGAAAGACCUUUCUUUUGAAAAAACAAACAAAAAAAAGGAAUGCAACACGAGGACUUCCCACGAGGUCACCCAUCCUAGUACUACUCUAGUACCAAGCACGCUUAACUUCGGAGUUCUGAUGGGAUCCGGUGCUUUAGUGCUGGUAUGAUCGCAUCCGACAUACCGUGCGUUCUCCUCCCCUUUAUGCCCGCGCCUCCGUGUACGGCCCGCCCAUAGCUCCUUCGACGGCGCCGCCUAGGAACGCGGAGAAAAUAUGACAAAGGAACGGCCAAAAAUAAAAAGAAAGACCUUUCUUUUGAAAAAACAAACAAAAAAAAGGAAUGCAACACGAGGACUUCCCAGGAGGUCACCCAUCCUAGUACUACUCUCGCCCAAGCACGCUUAACUUCGGAGUUCUGAUGGGAUCCGGUGCUUUAGUGCUGGUAUGAUCGCAUCCGACAUACCGUGCGUUCUCCUCCCCUUUAUGCCCGCGCCUCCGUGUACGGCCCGCCCAUAGCUCCUUCGACGGCGCCGCCUAGGAACGCGGAGAAAAUAUGACAAAGGAACGGCCAAAAAUAAAAAGAAAGACCUUUCUUUUGAAAAAACAAACAAAUAAAAGGAAUGCAACACGAGGACUUCCCAGGAGGUCACCCAUCCUAGUACUACUCUCGCCCAAGCACGCUUAACUUCGGAGUUCUGAUGGGAUCCGGUGCUUUAGUGCUGGUAUGAUCGCAUCCGACAUACCGUGCGUUCUCCUCCCCUUUAUGCCCGCGCCUCCGUGUACGGCCCGCCCAUAGCUCCUUCGACGGCGCCGCCUAGGAACGCGGAGAAAAUAUGACAAAGGAACGGCCAAAAAUAAAAAGAAAGACCUUUCUUUUGAAAAAACAAACAAAAAAAAGGAAUGCAACACGAGGACUUCCCAGGAGGUCACCCAUCCUAGUACUACUCUCGCCCAAGCACGCUUAACUUCGGAGUUCUGAUGGGAUCCGGUGCUUUAGUGCUGGUAUGAUCGCAUCCGACAUACCGUGCGUUCUCCUCCCCUUUAUGCCCGCGCCUCCGUGUACGGCCCGCCCAUAGCUCCUUCGACGGCGCCGCCUAGGAACGCGGAGAAAAUAUGACAAAGGAACGGCCAAAAAUAAAAAGAAAGACCUUUCUUUUGAAAAAACAAACAAAAAAAAGGAAUGCAACACGAGGACUUCCCAGGAGGUCACCCAUCCUAGUACUACUCUCGCCCAAGCACGCUUAACUUCGGAGUUCUGAUGGGAUCCGGUGCUUUAGUGCUGGUAUGAUCGCAUCCGACAUACCGUGCGUUCUCCUCCCCUUUAUGCCCGCGCCUCCGUGUACGGCCCGCCCAUAGCUCCUUCGACGGCGCCGCCUAGGAACGCGGAGAAAAUAUGACAAAGGAACGGCCAAAAAUAAAAAGAAAGACCUUUCUUUUGAAAAAACAAACAAAUAAAAGGAAUGCAACACAAGGACUUCCCAGGAGGUCACCCAUCCUAGUACUACUCUCGCCCAAGCACGCUUAACUUCGGAGUUCUGAUGGGAUCCGGUGCUUUAGUGCUGGUAUGAUCGCAUCCGACAUACCGUGCGUUCUCCUCCCCUUUAUGCCCGCGCCUCCGUGUACGGCCCGCCCAUAGCUCCUUCGACGGCGCCGCCUAGGAACGCGGAGAAAAUAUGACAAAGGAACGGCCAAAAAUAAAAAGAAAGACCUUUCUUUUGAAAAAACAAACGCCUCCGUGUACGGCCCGCCCAUAGCUCCUUCGACGGCGCCGCCUAGGAACGCGGAGAAAAUAUGACAAAGGAACGGCCAAAAAUAAAAAGAAAGACCUUUCUUUUGAAAAAACAAACAAAAAAAAGGAAUGCAACACGAGGACUUCCCAGGAGGUCACCCAUCCUAGUACUACUCUCGCCCAAGCACGCUUAACUUCGGAGUUCUGAUGGGAUCCGGUGCUUUAGUGCUGGUAUGAUCGCAUCCGACAUACCGUGCGUUCUCCUCCCCUUUAUGCCCGCGCCUCCGUGUACGGCCCGCCCAUAGCUCCUUCGACGGCGCCGCCUAGGAACGCGGAGAAAAUAUGACAAAGGAACGGCCAAAAAUAAAAAGAAAGACCUUUCUUUUGAAAAAACAAACGCCUCCGUGUACGGCCCGCCCAUAGCUCCUUCGACGGCGCCGCCUAGGAACGCGGAGAAAAUAUGACAAAGGAACGGCCAAAAAUAAAAAGAAAGACCUUUCUUUUGAAAAAACAAACAAAAAAAAGGAAUGCAACACGAGGACUUCCCAGGAGGUCACCCAUCCUAGUACUACUCUCGCCCAAGCACGCUUAACUUCGGAGUUCUGAUGGGAUCCGGUGCUUUAGUGCUGGUAUGAUCGCAUCCGACAUACCGUGCGUUCUCCUCCCCUUUAUGCCCGCGCCUCCGUGUACGGCCCGCCCAUAGCUCCUUCGACGGCGCCGCCUAGGAACGCGGAGAAAAUAUGACAAAGGAACGGCCAAAAAUAAAAAGAAAGACCUUUCUUUUGAAAAAACAAACAAAUAAAAGGAAUGCAACACGAGGACUUCCCAGGAGGUCACCCAUCCUAGUACUACUCUCGCCCAAGCACGCUUAACUUCGGAGUUCUGAUGGGAUCCGGUGCUUUAGUGCUGGUAUGAUCGCAUCCGACAUACCGUGCGUUCUCCUCCCCUUUAUGCCCGCGCCUCCGUGUACGGCCCGCCCAUAGCUCCUUCGACGGCGCCGCCUAGGAACGCGGAGAAAAUAUGACAAAGGAACGGCCAAAAAUAAAAAGAAAGACCUUUCUUUUGAAAAAACAAACAAAAAAAAAGGAAUGCAACACGAGGACUUCCCAGGAGGUCACCCAUCCUAGUACUACUCUCGCCCAAGCACGCUUAACUUCGGAGUUCUGAUGGGAUCCGGUGCUUUAGUGCUGGUAUGAUCGCAUCCGACAUACCGUGCGUUCUCCUCCCCUUUAUGCCCGCGCCUCCGUGUACGGCCCGCCCAUAGCUCCUUCGACGGCGCCGCCUAGGAACGCGGAGAAAAUAUGACAAAGGAACGGCCAAAAAUAAAAAGAAAGACCUUUCUUUUGAAAAAACAAACAAAAAAAAGGAAUGCAACACGAGGACUUCCCAGGAGGUCACCCAUCCUAGUACUACUCUCGCCCAAGCACGCUUAACUUCGGAGUUCUGAUGGGAUCCGGUGCUUUAGUGCUGGUAUGAUCGCAUCCGACAUACCGUGCGUUCUCCUCCCCUUUAUGCCCGCGCCUCCGUGUACGGCCCGCCCAUAGCUCCUUCGACGGCGCCGCCUAGGAACGCGGAGAAAAUAUGACAAAGGAACGGCCAAAAAUAAAAAGAAAGACCUUUCUUUUGAAAAAACAAACAAAAAAAAGGAAUGCAACACGAGGACUUCCCAGGAGGUCACCCAUCCUAGUACUACUCUCGCCCAAGCACGCUUAACUUCGGAGUUCUGAUGGGAUCCGGUGCUCUAGUGCUGGUAUGAUCGCAUCCGACAUACCGUGCGUUCUCCUCCCCUUUAUGCCCGCGCCUCCGUGUACGGCCCGCCCAUAGCUCCUUCGACGGCGCCGCCUAGGAACGCGGAGAAAAUAUGACAAAGGAACGGCCAAAAAUAAAAAGAAAGACCUUUCUUUUGAAAAAACAAACAAAAAAAAAGGAAUGCAACACGAGGACUUCCCAGGAGGUCACCCAUCCUAGUACUACUCUCGCCCAAGCACGCUUAACUUCGGAGUUCUGAUGGGAUCCGGUGCUUUAGUGCUGGUAUGAUCGCAUCCGACAUACCGUGCGUUCUCCUCCCCUUUAUGCCCGCGCCUCCGUGUACGGCCCGCCCAUAGCUCCUUCGACGGCGCCGCCUAGGAACGCGGAGAAAAUAUGACAAAGGAACGGCCAAAAAUAAAAAGAAAGACCUUUCUUUUGAAAAAACAAACAAAUAAAAGGAAUGCAACACGAGGACUUCCUAGGAGGUCACCCAUCCUAGUACUACUCUCGCCCAAGCACGCUUAACUUCGGAGUUCUAAUGGGAUCCGGUGCUUUAGUGCUGGUAUGAUCGCAUCCGACAUACCGUGCGUUCUCCUCCCCUUUAUGCCCGCGCCUCCGUGUACGGCCCGCCCAUAGCUCCUUCGACGGCGCCGCCUAGGAACGCGGAGAAAAUAUGACAAAGGAACGGCCAAAAAUAAAAAGAAAGACCUUUCUUUUGAAAAAACAAACAAAAAAAAGGAAUGCAACACGAGGACUUCCCAGGAGGUCACCCAUCCUAGUACUACUCUCGCCCAAGCACGCUUAACUUCGGAGUUCUGAUGGGAUCCGGUGCUUUAGUGCUGGUAUGAUCGCAUCCGACAUACCGUGCGUUCUCCUCCCCUUUAUGCCCGCGCCUCCGUGUACGGCCCGCCCAUAGCUCCUUCGACGGCGCCGCCUAGGAACGCGGAGAAAAUAUGACAAAGGAACGGCCAAAAAUAAAAAGAAAGACCUUUCUUUUGAAAAAACAAACAAAAAAAAGGAAUGCAACACGAGGACUUCCCAGGAGGUCACCCAUCCUAGUACUACUCUCGCCCAAGCACGCUUAACUUCGGAGUUCUGAUGGGAUCCGGUGCUUUAGUGCUGGUAUGAUCGCAUCCGACAUACCGUGCGUUCUCCUCCCCUUUAUGCCCGCGCCUCCGUGUACGGCCCGCCCAUAGCUCCUUCGACGGCGCCGCCUAGGAACGCGGAGAAAAUAUGACAAAGGAACGGCCAAAAAUAAAAAGAAAGACCUUUCUUUUGAAAAAACAAACAAAAAAAAGGAAUGCAACACGAGGACUUCCCAGGAGGUCACCCAUCCUAGUACUACUCUCGCCCAAGCACGCUUAACUUCGGAGUUCUGAUGGGAUCCGGUGCUUUAGUGCUGGUAUGAUCGAAUCCGACAUACCGUGCGUUCUCCUCCCCUUUAUGCCCGCGCCUCCGUGUACGGUCCGCCCAUAGCUCCUUCGACGGCGCCGCCUAGGAACGCGGAGAAAAUAUGACAAAGGAACGGCCAAAAAUAAAAAGAAAGACCUUUCUUUUGAAAAAACAAACAAAUAAAAGGAAUGCAACACGAGGACUUCCCAGGAGGUCACCCAUCCUAGUACUACUCUCGCCCAAGCACGCUUAACUUCGGAGUUCUGAUGGGAUCCGGUGCUUUAGUGCUGGUAUGAUCGCAUCCGACAUACCGUGCGUUCUCCUCCCCUUUAUGCCCGCGCCUCCGUGUACGGCCCGCCCAUAGCUCCUUCGACGGCGCCGCCUAGGAACGCGGAGAAAAUAUGACAAAGGAACGGCCAAAAAUAAAAAGAAAGACCUUUCUUUUGAAAAAACAAACAAAUAAAAGGAAUGCAACACGAGGACUUCCCAGGAGGUCACCCAUCCUAGUACUACUCUCGCCCAAGCACGCUUAACUUCGGAGUUCUGAUGGGAUCCGGUGCUUUAGUGCUGGUAUGAUCGCAUCCGACAUACCGUGCGUUCUCCUCCCCUUUAUGCCCGCGCCUCCGUGUACGGCCCGCCCAUAGCUCCUUCGACGGCGCCGCCUAGGAACGCGGAGAAAAUAUGACAAAGGAACGGCCAAAAAUAAAAAGAAAGACCUUUCUUUUGAAAAAACAAACAAAAAAAAGGAAUGCAGCACCAGGACUUCCCGGAAGGUCACCCAUCCAAAUACAACUCUCGCCGAACCACGUUUAACUUCGAAUUUCUAAUGGAAUCCGGGGCUUUAGAGCUGGAAUGAUCGCAUCCGACAUACCGUGCGUUCUCCUCCCCUUUAUGCCCGCGCCUCCGUGUACGGCCCGCCCAUAGCUCCUUCGACGGCGCCGCCUAGGAACGCGGAGAAAAUAUGACAAAGGAGCGGCCAAAAAUAAAAAGAAAGACCUUUCUUUUGAAAAAACAAACAAAUAAAAGGAAUGCAACACGAGGACUUCCUAGGAGGUCACCCAUCCUAGUACUACUCUCGCCCAAGCACGCUUAACUUCGGAGUUCUGAUGGGAUCCGGUGCUUUAGUGCUGGUAUGAUCGCAUCCGACAUACCGUGCGUUCUCCUCCCCUUUAUGCCCGCGCCUCCGUGUACGGCCCGCCCAUAGCUCCUUCGACGGCGCCGCCUAGGAACGCGGAGAAAAUAUGACAAAGGAACGGCCAAAAAUAAAAAGAAAGACCUUUCUUUUGAAAAAACAAACGCCUCCGUGUACGGCCCGCCCAUAGCUCCUUCGACGGCGCCGCCUAGGAACGCGGAGAAAAUAUGACAAAGGAACGGCCAAAAAUAAAAAGAAAGACCUUUCUUUUGAAAAAACAAACAAAAAAAAGGAAUGCAACACGAGGACUUCCCAGGAGGUCACCCAUCCUAGUACUACUCUCGCCCAAGCACGCUUAACUUCGGAGUUCUGAUGGGAUCCGGUGCUUUAGUGCUGGUAUGAUCGCAUCCGACAUACCGUGCGUUCUCCUCCCCUUUAUGCCCGCGCCUCCGUGUACGGCCCGCCCAUAGCUCCUUCGACGGCGCCGCCUAGGAACGCGGAGAAAAUAUGACAAAGGAACGGCCAAAAAUAAAAAGAAAGACCUUUCUUUUGAAAAAACAAACAAAUAAAAGGAAUGCAACACGAGGACUUCCCAGGAGGUCACCCAUCCUAGUACUACUCUCGCCCAAGCACGCUUAACUUCGGAGUUCUGAUGGGAUCCGGUGCUUUAGUGCUGGUAUGAUCGCAUUCGACAUACCGAUGCGUUCUCAUCCCCGUUAUGCGCCGCGCCUCUGUGUACGGCCCGCCCAUAGCUCCUUUGACUGCGCCUCGUAGGAUCGCGGAGAAUAUAUGACAAAGGCACGGCCAAACAUAAAACGAAAGACCUCUCUUUUGCAACAACAAACAAAAUAAAGGAAUGCAACACGAGGACUUCCCAGGAGGUCACCCAUCCUAGUACUAGUCUCGCUCAAGCACGCUGAUCUUCGGAGUUCUGAUGGGAUCCGGUGCUUUAGUGCUGGUAUGAUCGCAUCCGACAUACCGUGCGUUCUCCUCCCCUUUAUGCCCGCGCCUCCGUGUACGGCCCGCCCAUAGCUCCUUCGACGGCGCCGCCUAGGAACGCGGAGAAAAUAUGACAAAGGAACGGCCAAAAAUAAAAAGAAAGACCUUUCUUUUGAAAAAACAAACAAAAAAAAGGAAUGCAACACGAGGACUUCCCAGGAGGUCACCCAUCCUAGUACUACUCUCGCCCAAGCACGCUUAACUUCGGAGUUCUGAUGGGAUCCGGUGCUUUAGUGCUGGUAUGAUCGCAUCCGACAUACCGUGCGUUCUCCUCCCCUUUAUGCCCGCGCCUCCGUGUACGGCCCGCCCAUAGCUCCUUCGACGGCGCCGCCUAGGAACGCGGAGAAAAUAUGACAAAGGAACGGCCAAAAAUAAAAAGAAAGACCUUUCUUUUGAAAAAACAAACAAAUAAAAGGAAUGCAACACGAGGACUUCCCAGGAGGUCACCCAUCCUAGUACUACUCUCGCCCAAGCACGCUUAACUUCGGAGUUCUGAUGGGAUCCGGUGCUUUAGUGCUGGUAUGAUCGCAUCCGACAUACCGUGCGUUCUCCUCCCCUUUAUGCCCGCGCCUCCGUGUACGGCCCGCCCAUAGCUCCUUCGACGAGCCCGCCUAGGAACGCGGAGAAAAUAUGACAAAGGAACGGCCAAAAAUAAAAAGAAAGACCUUUCUUUUGAAAAAACAAACAAAUAAAAGGAAUGCAACACGAGGACUUCCCAGGAGGUCACCCAUCCUAGUACUACUCUCGCCCAAGCACGCUUAACUUCGGAGUUCUGAUGGGAUCCGGUGCUUUAGUGCUGGUAUGAUCGCAUCCGACAUACCGUGCGUUCUCCUCCCCUUUAUGCCCGCGCCUCCGUGUACGGCCCGCCCAUAGCUCCUUCGACGGCGCCGCCUAGGAACGCGGAGAAAAUAUGACAAAGGAACGGCCAAAAAUAAAAAGAAAGACCUUUCUUUUGAAAAAACAAACAAAAAAAAGGAAUGCAACACGAGGACUUCCCAGGAGGUCACCCAUCCUAGUACUACUCUCGCCCAAGCACGCUUAACUUCGGAGUUCUGAUGGGAUCCGGUGCUUUAGUGCUGGUAUGAUCGCAUCCGACAUACCGUGCGUUCUCCUCCCCUUUAUGCCCGCGCCUCCGUGUACGGCCCGCCCAUAGCUCCUUCGACGGCGCCGCCUAGGAACGCGGAGAAAAUAUGACAAAGGAACGGCCAAAAAUAAAAAGAAAGACCUUUCUUUUGAAAAAACAAACAAAUAAAAGGAAUGCAACACGAGGACUUCCCAGGAGGUCACCCAUCCUAGUACUACUCUCGCCCAAGCACGCUUAACUUCGGAGUUCUGAUGGGAUCCGGUGCUUUAGUGCUGGUAUGAUCGCAUCCGACAUACCGUGCGUUCUCCUCCCCUUUAUGCCCGCGCCUCCGUGUACGGCCCGCCCAUAGCUCCUUCGACGGCGCCGCCUAGGAACGCGGAGAAAAUAUGACAAAGGAACGGCCAAAAAUAAAAAGAAAGACCUUUCUUUUGAAAAAACAAACAAAUAAAAGGAAUGCAACACGAGGACUUCCCAGGAGGUCACCCAUCCUAGUACUACUCUCGCCCAAGCACGCUUAACUUCGGAGUUCUGAUGGGAUCCGGUGCUUUAGUGCUGGUAUGAUCGCAUCCGACAUACCGUGCGUUCUCCUCCCCUUUAUGCCCGCGCCUCCGUGUACGGUCCGCCCAUAGCUCUUUAGUUGGCGCCUCCUAGGAACGCGGAGAAAAUAUGACAAAGGAACGGCCAAAAAUAAAAAGAAAGACCUUUCUUUUGAAAAAACAAACGCCUCCGUGUACGGCCCGCCCAUAGCUCCUUCGACGGCGCCGCCUAGGAACGCGGAGAAAAUAUGACAAAGGAACGGCCAAAAAUAAAAAGAAAGACCUUUCUUUUGAAAAAACAAACAAAAAAAAGGAAUGCAACACGAGGACUUCCCAGGAGGUCACCCAUCCUAGUACUACUCUCGCCCAAGCACGCUUAACUUCGGAGUUCUGAUGGGAUCCGGUGCUUUAGUGCUGGUAUGAUCGCAUCCGACAUACCGUGCGUUCUCCUCCCCUUUAUGCCCGCGCCUCCGUGUACGGCCCGCCCAUAGCUCCUUCGACGGCGCCGCCUAGGAACGCGGAGAAAAUAUGACAAAGGAACGGCCAAAAAUAAAAAGAAAGACCUUUCUUUUGAAAAAACAAACAAAUAAAAGGAAUGCAACACGAGGAGUUCCCAGGAGGUCACCCAUCCUAGUACUACUCUCGCCCAAGCACGCUUAACUUCGGAGUUCUGAUGGGAUCCGGUGCUUUAGUGCUGGUAUGAUCGCAUCCGACAUACCGUGCGUUCUCCUCCCCUUUAUGCCCGCGCCUCCGUGUACGGCCCGCCCAUAGCUCCUUCGAUGGCGCCGCCUAGGAACGCGGAGAAAAUAUGACAAAGGAACGGCCAAAAAUAAAAAGAAAGACCUUUCUUUUGAAAAAACAAACGCCUCCGUGUACGGCCCGCCCAUAGCUCCUUCGACGGCGCCGCCUAGGAACGCGGAGAAAAUAUGACAAAGGAACGGCCAAAAAUAAAAAGAAAGACCUUUCUUUUGAAAAAACAAACAAAAAAAAGGAAUGCAACACGAGGACUUCCCAGGAGGUCACCCAUCCUAGUACUACUCUCGCCCAAGCACGCUUAACUUCGGAGUUCGGAUGGGAUCCGGUGCUUUAGUGCUGGUAUGAUCGCAUCCGACAUACCGUGCGUUCUCCUCCCCUUUAUGCCCGCGCCUCCGUGUACGGCCCGCCCAUAGCUCCUUCGACGGCGCCGCCUAGGAACGCGGAGAAAAUAUGACAAAGGAACGGCCAAAAAUAAAAAGAAAGACCUUUCUUUUGAAAAAACAAACAAAUAAAAGGAAUGCAACACGAGGACUUCCCAGGAGGUCACCCAUCCUAGUACUACUCUCGCCCAAGCACGCUUAACUUCGGAGUUCUGAUGGGAUCCGGUGCUUUAGUGCUGGUAUGAUCGCAUCCGACAUACCGUGCGUUCUCCUCCCCUUUAUGCCCGCGCCUCCGUGUACGGCCCGCCCAUAGCUCCUUCGACGGCGCCGCCUAGGAACGCGGAGAAAAUAUGACAAAGGAACGGCCAAAAAUAAAAAGAAAGACCUUUCUUUUGAAAAAACAAACAAAAAAAAGGAAUGCAACACGAGGACUUCCCAGGAGGUCACCCAUCCUAGUACUACUCUCGCCCAAGCACGCUUAACUUCGCAGUUCUGAUGGGAUCCGGUGCUUUAGUGCUGGUAUGAUCGCAUCCGACAUACCGUGCGUUCUCCUCCCCUUUAUGCCCGCGCCUCCGUGUACGGCCCGCCCAUAGCUCCUUCGACGGCGCCGCCUAGGAACGCGGAGAAAAUAUGACAAAGGAACGGCCAAAAAUAAAAAGAAAGACCUUUCUUUUGAAAAAACAAACGGCUCCGUGUACGGCCCGCCCAUAGCUCCUUCGACGGCGCCGCCUAGGAACGCGGAGAAAAUAUGACAAAGGAACGGCCAAAAAUAAAAAGAAAGACCUUUCUUUUGAAAAAACAAACAAAAAAAAGGAAUGCAACACGAGGACUUCCCAGGAGGUCACCCAUCCUAGUACUACUCUCGCCCAAGCACGCUUAACUUCGGAGUUCUGAUGGGAUCCGGUGCUUUAGUGCUGGUAUGAUCGCAUCCGACAUACCGUGCGUUCUCCUCCCCUUUAUGCCCGCGCCUCCGUGUACGGCCCGCCCAUAGCUCCUUCGACGGCGCCGCCUAGGAACGCGGAGAAAAUAUGACAAAGGAACGGCCAAAAAUAAAAAGAAAGACCUUUCUUUUGAAAAAACAAACAAAUAAAAGGAAUGCAACACGAGGACUUCCCAGGAGGUCACCCAUCCUAGUACUACUCUCGCCCAAGCACGCUUAACUUCGGAGUUCUGAUGGGAUCCGGUGCUUUAGUGCUGGUAUGAUCGCAUCCGACAUACCGUGUGUCGACGAAAGCUGGUCGGCAGUCUACCUUGGGGUAUACCCACGGUAGUAGUUUAUCGGUAGACGGUGCGCAAACUACGAACUCGAUGGUGACGCAAGACACGGACAAGCUUUUUAUCCAGGUUCGGCCGCCGAGUUGGCGUAAUACCUACGUCCUGCGUCUGGUUGUAUUGGAUUGUGUUUAGAGAUAAUCUACCCUAGGGGGUCCCCUUGCCCCUCCUUAUAUAGUCUGGAGGGCAGGGUUACAGAUCUAGAAACUAAUCCUAGCCGGUUACAAUUGCCAUAGAUAAUUCGAUAUCAAUUCCUAUUCUAACCGACUAGAAUCCUGCUUGAUCUCCACGUCCUGUUUCCUUGCGCGAAACUCGGGCUAUCGGAUCAAGCCUUGAACUCGUCUCGUAGUGGGCCAAGCUUCCUAGCUGAAGUCUAGCCGUAAGGGUAUAGGGGUUUAUACCCCCACAGCUAGUCCCCGAGCGCCAUGUAUUGUGACGCAACACUCCGUCUUGAGCUUCUUCGAUCAGCGUGGUCUGUCGUCUUCAAUGAGCGGGGAAAUCGCCCAAACGGUUCAUUGAUCAACGUUGUCAUCGAAGAAGCAGGUUGUUCGAAGAAUGCAUGGUGCUCUAAAAAAAAUUUCUUUCCUGGUGAAGUGUGCCCACUUUGCCUUUCUGAAAGGUAGAAGCAACAAAAAAGCAAGCAAAUUCACCGCUAGGUGAAGUGUGCCCACUUAGUCCCCGAGCCUGGUAGUAGGUGUCGUAGGCACGUGGUGCCAGGGUCAAAAGAAAAUUCCCCAAAGUAGUUUUGGGACUGAGAUGCAUCGUACCGAUGUAGUCCCCGAGCUUGCUGGAAGGCGAAGUAUGAGCCUUGUAGCAAGGUCUAAAAAAUUGAAUUUACCAGUCCCCGAGCAUGUCAUGCUCGUCUGCAAUCGAAAAGACCAAUCGACCAGUCCCCAGGCACUUAGUGUGCUGCCUGGAAUUACAUGUUACUAUACUGUACGACCAGUCCCCGAGCAUCGAGUGCUCAGUGGUCGGUGCAUGCUUUAAAGCUUUGAGCUGAUAGACUGAGCGACCAGUCCCCGAGCGUCGAGUGCUCGGUGGUCGGUGAAGUCUUUGAAGUUCCGAGCUGAUAAACUGGGCGACCAGUCCCCGAGCGUCGAGUGCUCGGUGGUCGGUGCAGUCUUUGAAGUUCCGAGCUAAUAAACUGGGCGACCAGUCCCCGAGCGUCGAGUGCUCGGUGGUCGGUGCAGUCUUUGAAGUUCCGAGCUAAUAAACUGGGCGACCAGUCCCCGAGCGUCGAGUGCUCGGUGGUCGGUGCAGUCCCCGGAUUGCUGACUCACUGGCGUAUGUGUCUUCUUACUUUUGAAAAGGUCUUUCAAAUUUAAAGUUGACGUGACGGGGUCUCCUGACGAUAUGUCAGACGGAUGCAUGAAAAGCUGUGCCUGGCAACUGUACAACCGCUCUUUGCNNNNNNNNNNNNNNNNNNNNNNNNNNNNNNNNNNNNNNNNNNNNNNNNNNNNNNNNNNNNNNNNNNNNNNNNNNNNNNNNNNNNNNNNNNNNNNNNNNNNCGUUCUCCUCCCCUUUAUGCCCGCGCCUCCGUGUCCGUAAAGGGCAUAGCUCCUUCGACGGCGCCGCCGUAGGAACGCUGAGAAGAUAUGACAAAGGAACGGCCAAAAAUAAAAAGAAAGACCUUUCUUUUGAAAAAACAAACAAAAAAAAGGAAUGCAACACGAGGACUUCCCAGGAGGUCACCCAUCCUAGUACUACUCUCGCCCAAGCACGCUUAACUUCGGAGUUCUGAUGGGAUCCGGUGCUUUAGUGCUGGUAUGAUCGCAUCCGACAUACCGUGCGUUCUCCUCCCCUUUAUGCCCGCGCCUCCGUGUACGGCCGGCCCAUAGCUCCUUCGACGGCGCCGCCUAGGAACGCGGAGAAAAUAUGACAAAGGAAUUUUUUUAAAUAAAAAGAAAGACCUUUCUUUUGAAAAAACAAACGAAAAAAAGGAAUGCAACACGAGGACUUCCCAGGAGGUCACCCAUCCUAGUACUACUCUCGCCCAAGCACGCUUAACUUCGGAGUUCUGAUGGGAUCCGGUGCUUUAGUGCUGGUAUGAUCGCAUCCGACAUACCGUGCGUUCUCCUCCCCUUUAUGCCCGCGCCUCCGUGUACGGCCCGCCCAUAGCUCCUUCGACGGCGCCGCCUAAGAACGCGGAAAAAAUAUGACAAAGGAACGGCCAAAAAUAAAAAAAAAAAACCUUUCUUUUGAAAAAANNNNNNNNNNNNNNNNNNNNNNNNNNNNNNNNNNNNNNNNNNNNNNNNNNNNNNNNNNNNNNNNNNNNNNNNNNNNNNNNNNNNNNNNNNNNNNNNNNNNAAAAGGAAUGCAACACGAGGACUUCCCAGGAGGUCACCCAUCCUAGUACUACUCUCGCCCAAGCACGCUUAACUUCGGAGUUCUGAUGGGAUCCGGUGCUUUAGUGCUGGUAUGAUCGCAUCCGACAUACCGUGCGUUCUCCUCCCCUUUAUGCCCGCGCCUCCGUGUUACGGCCCGCCCAUAGCUCCUUCGACGGCGCCGCCUAGGAACGCGGAGAAAAUAUGACAAAGGAACGGCCAAAAAUCAAAAGAAAGACCUUUCUUUUGAAAAAACACACGCCUCCGUGUACGGCCCGCCCAUAGCUCCUUCGACGGCGCCGCCUAGGAACGCGGAGAAAAUAUGACAAAGGAACGGCCAAAAAUAAAAAGAAAGACCUUUCUUUUGAAAAAACAAACAAAUAAAAGGAAUGCAACACGAGGACUUCCCAGGAGGUCACCCAUCCUAGUACUACUCUCGCCCAAGCACGCUUAACUUCGGAGUUCUGAUGGGAUCCGGUGCUUUAGUGCUGGUAUGAUCGCAUCCGACAUACCGUGCGUUCUCCUCCCCUUUAUGCCCGCGCCUCCGUGUACGGCCCGCCCAUAGCUCCUUCGACGGCGCCGCCUAGGAACGCGGAGAAAAUAUGACAAAGGAACGGCCAAAAAUAAAAAGAAAGACCUUUCUUUUGAAAAAACAAACAAAUAAAAGGAAUGCAACACGAGGACUUCCCAGGAGGUCACCCAUCCUAGUACUACUCUCGCCCAAGCACGCUUAACUUCGGAGUUCUGAUGGGAUCCGGUGCUUUAGUGCUGGUAUGAUCGCAUCCGACAUACCGUGCGUUCUCCUCCCCUUUAUGCCCGCGCCUCCGUGUACGGCCCGCCCAUAGCUCCUUCGACGGCGCCGCCUAGGAACGCGGAGAAAAUAUGACAAAGGAACGGCCAAAAAUAAAAAGAAAGACCUUUCUUUUGAAAAAACAAACGCCUCCGUGUACGGCCCGCCCAUAGCUCCUUCGACGGCGCCGCCUAGGAACGCGGAGAAAAUAUGACAAAGGAACGGCCAAAAAUAAAAAGAAAGACCUUUCUUUUGAAAAAACAAACAAAAAAAAGGAAUGCAACACGAGGACUUCCCAGGAGGUCACCCAUCCUAGUACUACUCUCGCCCAAGCACGCUUAACUUCGGAGUUCUGAUGGGAUCCGGUGCUUUAGUGCUGGUAUGAUCGCAUCCGACAUACCGUGCGUUCUCCUCCCCUUUAUGCCCGCGCCUCCGUGUACGGCCCGCCCAUAGCUCCUUCGACGGCGCCGCCUAGGAACGCGGAGAAAAUAUGACAAAGGAACGGCCAAAAAUAAAAAGAAAGACCUUUCUUUUGAAAAAACAAACAAAUAAAAGGAAUGCAACACGAGGACUUCCCAGGAGGUCACCCAUCCUAGUACUACUCUCGCCCAAGCACGCUUAACUUCGGAGUUCUGAUGGGAUCCGGUGCUUUAGUGCUGGUAUGAUCGCAUCCGACAUACCGUGCGUUCUCCUCCCCUUUAUGCCCGCGCCUCCGUGUACGGCCCGCCCAUAGCUCCUUCGACGGCGCCGCCUAGGAACGCGGAGAAAAUAUGACAAAGGAACGGCCAAAAAUAAAAAGAAAGACCUUUCUUUUGAAAAAACAAACGCCUCCGUGUACGGCCCGCCCAUAGCUCCUUCGACGGCGCCGCCUAGGAACGCGGAGAAAAUAUGACAAAGGAACGGCCAAAAAUAAAAAGAAAGACCUUUCUUUUGAAAAAACAAACAAAAAAAAGGAAUGCAACACGAGGACUUCCCAGGAGGUCACCCAUCCUAGUACUACUCUCGCCCAAGCACGCUUAACUUCGGAGUUCUGAUGGGAUCCGGUGCUUUAGUGCUGGUAUGAUCGCAUCCGACAUACCGUGCGUUCUCCUCCCCUUUAUGCCCGCGCCUCCGUGUACGGCCCGCCCAUAGCUCCUUCGACGGCGCCGCCUAGGAACGCGGAGAAAAUAUGACAAAGGAACGGCCAAAAAUAAAAAGAAAGACCUUUCUUUUGAAAAAACAAACAAAUAAAAGGAAUGCAACACGAGGACUUCCCAGGAGGUCACCCAUCCUAGUACUACUCUCGCCCAAGCACGCUUAACUUCGGAGUUCUGAUGGGAUCCGGUGCUUUAGUGCUGGUAUGAUCGCAUCCGACAUACCGUGCGUUCUCCUCCCCUUUAUGCCCGCGCCUCCGUGUACGGCCCGCCCAUAGCUCCUUCGACGGCGCCGCCUAGGAACGCGGAGAAAAUAUGACAAAGGAACGGCCAAAAAUAAAAAGAAAGACCUUUCUUUUGAAAAAACAAACAAAAAAAAGGAAUGCAACACGAGGACUUCCCAGGAGGUCACCCAUCCUAGUACUACUCUCGCCCAAGCACGCUUAACUUCGGAGUUCUGAUGGGAUCCGGUGCUUUAGUGCUGGUAUGAUCGCAUCCGACAUACCGUGCGUUCUCCUCCCCUUUAUGCCCGCGCCUCCGGGUACGGUCCUCCCAUAGCUCCGUCAACGGCCCGCCUAGGAACGCGGAGAAAAUAUGACAAAGGAACGGCCAAAAAUAAAAAGAAAGCCCUUUCUUUUGAAAAGACAACCGAAUAAAAGGAAUGCCACGCGAGGACUUCCCAGGAGGUCACCCAUCAUAGUACUACUCUCGCCCAAGCACGCUUAACUUCGGAGUUCUGAUGGGAUCCGGUGCUUUAGUGCUGGUAUGAUCGCAUCCGACAUACCGCGCGUUCUCCUCCCCUUAAGGCCCGCGCCUCCGUGUACGGCCCGCCCAUAGCUCCUUAGACGGCACCUCCUAGGAACGCGGAGAAAAUAUGACAAAGGAACGGCCAAAAAUAAAAAGAAAGACCUUUCUUUUGAAAAAACAAACGCCUCCGUGUACGGCCCGCCCAUAGCUCCUUCGACGGCGCCGCCUAGGAACGCGGAGAAAAUAUGACAAAGGAACGGCCAAAAAUAAAAAGAAAGACCUUUCUUUUGAAAAAACAAACAAAAAAAAGGAAUGCAACACGAGGACUUCCCAGGAGGUCACCCAUCCUAGUACUACUCUCGCCCAAGCACGCUUAACUUCGGAGUUCUGAUGGGAUCCGGUGCUUUAGUGCUGGUAUGAUCGCAUCCGACAUACCGUGCGUUCUCCUCCCCUUUAUGCCCGCGCCUCCGUGUACGGCCCGCCCAUAGCUCCUUCGACGGCGCCGCCUAGGAACGCGGAGAAAAUAUGACAAAGGAACGGCCAAAAAUAAAAAGAAAGACCUUUCUUUUGAAAAAACAAACGCCUCCGCGUACGGCCCGCCCAUAGCUCCUUCGACGGCGCCGCCUAGGAACGCGGAGAAAAUAUGACAAAGGAACGGCCAAAAAUAAAAAGAAAGACCUUUCUUUUGAAAAAACAAACAAAAAAAAGGAAUGCAACACGAGGACUUCCCAGGAGGUCACCCAUCCUAGUACUACUCUCGCCCAAGCACGCUUAACUUCGGAGUUCUGAUGGGAUCCGGUGCUUUAGUGCUGGUAUGAUCGCAUCCGACAUACCGUGCGUUCUCCUCCCCUUUAUGCCCGCGCCUCCGUGUACGGCCCGCCCAUAGCUCCUUCGACGGCGCCGCCUAGGAACGCGGAGAAAAUAUGACAAAGGAACGGCCAAAAAUAAAAAGAAAGACCUUUCUUUUGAAAAAACAAACAAAUAAAAGGAAUGCAACACGAGGACUUCCCAGGAGGUCACCCAUCCUAGUACUACUCUCGCCCAAGCACGCUUAACUUCGGAGUUCUGAUGGGAUCCGGUGCUUUAGUGCUGGUAUGAUCGCAUCCGACAUACCGUGCGUUCUCCUCCCCUUUAUGCCCGCGCCUCCGUGUACGGCCCGCCCAUAGCUCCUUCGACGGCGCCGCCUAGGAACGCGGAGAAAAUAUGACAAAGGAACGGCCAAAAAUAAAAAGAAAGACCUUUCUUUUGAAAAAACAAACAAAUAAAAGGAAUGCAACACGAGGACUUCCCAGGAGGUCACCCAUCCUAGUACUACUCUCGCCCAAGCACGCUUAACUUCGGAGUUCUGAUGGGAUCCGGUGCUUUAGUGCUGGUAUGAUCGCAUCCGACAUACCGUGCGUUCUCCUCCCCUUUAUGCCCGCGCCUCCGUGUACGGCCCGCCCAUAGCUCCUUCGACGGCGCCGCCUAGGAACGCGGAGAAAAUAUGACAAAGGAACGGCCAAAAAUAAAAAGAAAGACCUUUCUUUUGAAAAAACAAACGCCUCCGUGUACGGCCCGCCCAUAGCUCCUUCGACGGCGCCGCCUAGGAACGCGGAGAAAAUAUGACAAAGGAACGGCCAAAAAUAAAAAGAAAGACCUUUCUUUUGAAAAAACAAACAAAAAAAAGGAAUGCAACACGAGGACUUCCCAGGAGGUCACCCAUCCUAGUACUACUCUCGCCCAAGCACGCUUAACUUCGGAGUUCUGAUGGGAUCCGGUGCUUUAGUGCUGGUAUGAUCGCAUCCGACAUACCGUGCGUUCUCCUCCCCUUUAUGCCCGCGCCUCCGUGUACGGCCCGCCCAUAGCUCCUUCGACGGCGCCGCCUAGGAACGCGGAGAAAAUAUGACAAAGGAACGGCCAAAAAUAAAAAGAAAGACCUUUCUUUUGAAAAAACAAACAAAUAAAAGGAAUGCAACACGAGGACUUCCCAGGAGGUCACCCAUCCUAGUACUACUCUCGCCCAAGCACGCUUAACUUCGGAGUUCUGAUGGGAUCCGGUGCUUUAGUGCUGGUAUGAUCGCAUCCGACAUACCGUGCGUUCUCCUCCCCUUUAUACCCGCGCCUCCGUGUACGGCCCGCCCAUAGCUCCUUCGACGGCGCCGCCUAGGAACGCGGAGAAAAUAUGACAAAGGAACGGCCAAAAAUAAAAAGAAAGACCUUUCUUUUGAAAAAACAAACAAAUAAAAGGAAUGCAACACGAGGACUUCCCAGGAGGUCACCCAUCCUAGUACUACUCUCGCCCAAGCACGCUUAACUUCGGAGUUCUGAUGGGAUCCGGUGCUUUAGUGCUGGUAUGAUCGCAUCCGACAUACCGUGCGUUCUCCUCCCCUUUAUGCCCGCGCCUCCGUGUACGGCCCGCCCAUAGCUCCUUCGACGGCGCCGCCUAGGAACGCGGAGAAAAUAUGACAAAGGAACGGCCAAAAAUAAAAAGAAAGACCUUUCUUUUGAAAAAACAAACGCCUCCGUGUACGGCCCGCCCAUAGCUCCUUCGACGGCGCCGCCUAGGAACGCGGAGAAAAUAUGACAAAGGAACGGCCAAAAAUAAAAAGAAAGACCUUUCUUUUGAAAAAACAAACAAAAAAAAGGAAUGCAACACGAGGACUUCCCAGGAGGUCACCCAUCCUAGUACUACUCUCGCCCAAGCACGCUUAACUUCGGAGUUCUGAUGGGAUCCGGUGCUUUAGUGCUGGUAUGAUCGCAUCCGACAUACCGUGCGUUCUCCUCCCCUUUAUACCCGCGCCUCCGUGUACGGCCCGCCCAUAGCUCCUUCGACGGCGCCGCCUAGGAACGCGGAGAAAAUAUGACAAAGGAACGGCCAAAAAUAAAAAGAAAGACCUUUCUUUUGAAAAAACAAGCAAAAAAAAGGAAUGCAACACGAGGACUUCCCAGGAGGUCACCCAUCCUAGUACUACUCUCGCCCAAGCACGCUUAACUUCGGAGUUCUGAUGGGAUCCGGUGCUUUAGUGCUGGUAUGAUCGCAUCCGACAUACCGUGCGUUCUCCUCCCCUUUAUGCCCGCGCCUCCGUGUACGGCCCGCCCAUAGCUCCUUCGACAGCGCCGCCUAGGAACGCGGAGAAAAUAUGACAAAGGAACGGCAAAAAAUAAAAAGAAAGACCUUUCUUUUGAAAAAACAAACAAAAAAAAGGAAUGCAACACGCGGACUUCCCAGGAGGUCACCCAUCCUAGUACUACUCUCGCCUAAGCACGCUUAACUUCGGAGUNNNNNNNNNNNNNNNNNNNNNNNNNNNNNNNNNNNNNNNNNNNNNNNNNNNNNNNNNNNNNNNNNNNNNNNNNNNNNNNNNNNNNNNNNNNNNNNNNNNNNNNNNNNNNNNNNNNNNNNNNNNNNNNNNNNNNNNNNNNNNNNNNNNNNNNNNNNNNNNNNNNNNNNNNNNNNNNNNNNNNNNNNNNNNNNNNNNNNNNNNNNNNNNNNNNNNNNNNNNNNNNNNNNNNNNNNNNNNNNNNNNNNNNNNNNNNNNNNNNNNNNNNNNNNNNNNNNNNNNNNNNNNNNNNNNNNNNNNNNNNNNNNNNNNNNNNNNNNNNNNNNNNNNNNNNNNNNNNNNNNNNNNNNNNNNNNNNNNNNNNNNNNNNNNNNNNNNNNNNNNNNNNNNNNNNNNNNNNNNNNNNNNNNNNNNNNNNNNNNNNNNNNNNNNNNNNNNNNNNNNNNNNNNNNNNNNNNNNNNNNNNNNNNNNNNNNNNNNNNNNNNNNNNNNNNNNNNNNNNNNNNNNNNNNNNNNNNNNNNNNNNNNNNNNNNNNNNNNNNNNNNNNNNNNNNNNNNNNNNNNNNNNNNNNNNNNNNNNNNNNNNNNNNNNNNNNNNNNNNNNNNNNNNNNNNNNNNNNNNNNNNNNNNNNNNNNNNNNNNNNNNNNNNNNNNNNNNNNNNNNNNNNNNNNNNNNNNNNNNNNNNNNNNNNNNNNNNNNNNNNNNNNNNNNNNNNNNNNNNNNNNNNNNNNNNNNNNNNNNNNNNNNNNNNNNNNNNNNNNNNNNNNNNNNNNNNNNNNNNNNNNNNNNNNNNNNNNNNNNNNNNNNNNNNNNNNNNNNNNNNNNNNNNNNNNNNNNNNNNNNNNNNNNNNNNNNNNNNNNNNNNNNNNNNNNNNNNNNNNNNNNNNNNNNNNNNNNNNNNNNNNNNNNNNNNNNNNNNNNNNNNNNNNNNNNNNNNNNNNNNNNNNNNNNNNNNNNNNNNNNNNNNNNNNNNNNNNNNNNNNNNNNNNNNNNNNNNNNNNNNNNNNNNNNNNNNNNNNNNNNNNNNNNNNNNNNNNNNNNNNNNNNNNNNNNNNNNNNNNNNNNNNNNNNNNNNNNNNNNNNNNNNNNNNNNNNNNNNNNNNNNNNNNNNNNNNNNNNNNNNNNNNNNNNNNNNNNNNNNNNNNNNNNNNNNNNNNNNNNNNNNNNNNNNNNNNNNNNNNNNNNNNNNNNNNNNNNNNNNNNNNNNNNNNNNNNNNNNNNNNNNNNNNNNNNNNNNNNNNNNNNNNNNNNNNNNNNNNNNNNNNNNNNNNNNNNNNNNNNNNNNNNNNNNNNNNNNNNNNNNNNNNNNNNNNNNNNNNNNNNNNNNNNNNNNNNNNNNNNNNNNNNNNNNNNNNNNNNNNNNNNNNNNNNNNNNNNNNNNCCUUCAUCCAUCUGUGCGAGGCCUAUGUUGGCAUAGAGCCGCACUUUGAUCUUUUCCGGUAUCUUUUCUGUCUGAGGAAGAAGGGAGCAGUUGGAGGCUCCAAGGUUGCAGGUGGAGUAUACCUCAACCUCCGUGAUGGGAUGAAGAAUCGCUACCUGCACUGCCCAUGGAACACCUCCUUGACCGAAUGGUACAGGAAGUGGUUCUACGUCAGGGAGGAACCGGGCAGCUCCACGUUCUGCGACGUGGGGUACGUUCCCGAGAAGAGGGCGAGCUGGACUGACCGCCCAGAGUUCGACGGUCAAGUGGCGGUUCUGAUGAAGCUGAUCGACUGGUCGCGCCUGGAUGGGCUCAGCGUGGUCGGCAACUUCAUUUGCCGCCGGGUGAUGCCCUGCCAGAAGAGGGUGCACUCGGCGUAUGAAUAUGCCGGAAGCACAGACCCGACCAGGAUGCGGUCGGAGAUCCUGGAGAAGGCGGAGGUACAACAGCUGCUGAACGAGCUGUUUAACUUCGCGGAUGGGGGCUUCACCCGUAGCAGUGAUCGGGUGCAAGCCUUCAAGUUAGGACGACCAGCACCAAAGGUAUGUAGCAGACUUCGUUUGAUCAUUCGUAUGUCGCCUGUAGUUGGCUCAUCUCUGUUACCUUUGCAGGUCGGUGAUGUCGACCGGUGCGUAGUGUACGUAUCACUGGCACCGGGGAUGGAAGAUCCUGUGGGAGAGGUCCCACCGGAGGAAGGCAGAGCCCGCCCCGUCCCGACCUCCGAGGAGAGGGUGGCGGGGAAAAGGCCAUUGCCGGUGGAUCCCCUGCCGACGCCGGAGCUGCCGGCAGACCUACCGGCGGAGAGCAGCCAAGCGCCGAAGCGUCGUCGGCUCGUGCGGAUCGUCGACGACGACGACGACGACGAGGAGGCUGCGCCGUCGUUGGUCCGACGGCCUCGGGGCCGCCCAGACGCUGCACCAGUCGCCACUGAUCGAGUGGCCAACGGCGCGGCUGCCCCGCAAGUUGCCGAGGUGGGGGCACAGGCGCCGACCGGCCGGGCGAGGAGGAGGUUCACCGCGACCCAUCGCCGGUCAGACCUGUAAGUGUUCAACUUACGUAUUUUGGACUCCCCCUUUUUUUUUUUUUUAAACUUUUGUUCCUGUAGUGCGGCAUCGGAUGUCGACCCUGGCCAAACUGCCGGCCAGGGAACGGGCGAGCCUGCCCGCGGUUCUCGGGAUGCGGCCCCCCAGACCACAGAACAGCCGACUGCUGCAGUCGCGCCUGGGAGCACCGAGGAGCUCCCGAGCGCGGCGCCGACUACAACAAGCAGCCCGACCAGGGCUGGGGAGGCUCCCCCAACUGACUCUUCGGAGAAGGGAAAGUCUCCGACCGCUCCUCCUGCCGGGGGGAGUGAAGUCCCCCCGCCGCCCCGAGCAGAAGCCUCUCCGGCUGCGGGCUCCCCAGGUCUGGUCCAAGGGACGUUGACGCCUGGGACCACCACCGGGGGUGACGCAGCCCAGGAGGAGGAAACCAGGGCGGCCUCCGACGACGAGGUAGAAGAGAUCGAGGGUCGUCCCCGUGAUGGCCGCCAACACGUGUAUGUGUGGCGCCAACGCGGGGAUCACUUUAUCGGUCAUGAGGAGCUUGCCGAGUCCGAAGAGGCCGCCAGGGUGGAGCGCGCGGCCAAGCGCCUUGUCGACGAAGUCAAGGUAAGCGUCGUUUUGAGCUGCCGCGCAUUCUUUUGCCUUGUCUUCUGCGCAUUGUUAUAUGCUUGCUUUGUAGGACGUUAUGAAAACGGCGAAGUACCGGAAACGGUGCUUUGACCAGAUAGAAGGCGUCAUGGCCGAGAACAAGGCCCUUGCCGCGGAGGUAGACCGGUUGCGGGCGGAGGUCGGAGAGAAGGUGGUCGAGAUGAGCACCGAGAAGGAGCGUCGUCUCGACCUCGCUCGUCGCCUGGCCGACCAGUACCGGCUGCAGGAAGGUUAGUCUCACGCUCCGAGCAGUUUCGCAGACUUGUAUAGUUUGCUUCGCUGACCAGUUUAGGAUUCACGCAGACUUGGAGGAGGAGGUGGCGAGCCUCCAACAAGAGAAGGAGCAGCUCGGCCAACAGCUCGCCAGUGCGCAGGAGUCCGGACGGCGAGCGGAAGAGGAAUUAAGUCGUAAAGACCGGGAGUUAGCUGGUAAUGGGUGCCGCCUUGUUGGUUGCUACCUGCCCCUUUGCUUGUUUGGUAUGCCGAAAGUAACGUUUCGUUUCGUUUGCAGUGCUCAAGGUGAACACCAAAAAGCACCUGGAUGAGCUGGUCAAGGACCGGGACUCCUGGAAGGUCAACUGUUGCAGGAUCUGGAAGGGAGUGUCCCCGGUCCUGGACCUGAUCAGUCCCGAGCUCCCGGAGAGCCAGCCCCGCGCGCCGCAGUUGACCCCGGUUCAAAAGGCGCAACGGGCGUGGGACUGGCUCCAGCAGUUUGUGAAGGACGCCGGGGAGUUUGCCGGCGCGCACGUCCUCAGCAUGGUACGCGCCCACUACCCCCUUGUCGACUUGAGCAGGCUGGAGAAGGGGUACCCGAAGGAAGUCGGCCCACAGGAAGCGGACGAACUUCGGGGUAGUCUGCUGGACUUGUCGUCGACAGUGAUCGGCGACAUCAACCUGUGCGGAACGGCCACUCCUCCAGACCAGCCGAGCUCAGAUAGGUCGGCCAGGGAGUUGUCGGGCGCGUCCUUUGCUGGAGAUGGGCGGUCGACGCCUGCGGUCUCGACCAGCCAGGCGCCGGUGGCCCCGACCCCUUCGUCCGGGCAGCAGGGCCAGGCGGGUGAUCAGCCCGAGCAGCUAGGCCAAUAAAGUAGUCUGUAGGAAUAGACUAGUAUCUGCCCGUCAGGGUAUUUAUUGUAAACUUUGUAUGUAAAGUUUGUAAUAAAGUUUUCUUUUUGUCAUGACUGUUGUUUUGAGCGCUGUAAAAAUAUCUGAGUGAUGUGUCAUCGUAUUUGUCUUGGUUGUCGCCAAGAGCAUCCAUUGCGGGAGUUUUGCCGAGUGCUGUGUAUGACAAGGUAUAGGCAAAAAAUAGAGAAUUAUAUUGUCACAAAUUAUAAGACACUUACAAAAGAAAGUCGCUAAAACUUUAUGGAUAGAAACGUCGCAGUUUGUCGAUGUGCCAAGAGUUAGGCACUCGUGUUCCGUCUGGGUAUGCCAAUCUGUAGGACGUAGGUCGUGUGACCUCGGUCACCACGAAGGGUCCUUCCCAGGGAGUAGAUAACUUGUGCAUUCCCUCCUGGCUUGUUUUCCAUCGAAGCACCAGAUCGCCGACCACGAAGGAACGGUCCUUGACGUUCCUGUUGUAGUAUCGCCUGACUGCCGUGAGAUAUUUUGCUGUUCGGAGACAUGAAACUAAACGCUUUUCCUCCAUGCAAUUGAUUUCGAGUUCUCUGGCGUUGUCGGCGGUCGACUGGUCGAAGUGCUCAAUUCUAGGGGAUCCGAAGUGUAUGUCGGACGGCAGAACCGCCUCUGCGCCGUACACCAUGAAAUAGGGAGACACCCCCGUGUUUCGACUGGUCUGAGUUCGAAGGCCCCAGACCACUGCCGGCAAUUCUUUCAUCCAUCGACCGGGUGCUCUGUCGUUCUCGGUGUACAAUCUUUUCUUUAGGGCGUCGACGAUCAUUCCAUUAGCACGUUCGACCUGACCGUUGGCACGUGGAUGUGCCACUGACACAUAUUUUAUGACUAUGCCUCUGUCAUCGCAGAAAUCCCAAAAGGUGGUGCCAGUAAACUGAGUGCCCAGGUCGGUGAUUAUGCUGUUCGGGAUGCCGAAUCUGUGUAUGAUUUGAUUGAGGAACUCCACAGCCUUCUCGGAAGUUGCCUUGACCAGGGGCAUGUAUUCAAUCCACUUGGAGAACUUGUCGAUUAACACGAAGACAAACUUGAAGUUGCCCGGGGCUGGUUUAAAUGGUCCGAUCAUGUCAAGCCCCCAGCAGGCAAAGGGCCAAGACGACGGGAUGGUUUGAAUUUCAUGGGCAGGUACGUGGGUCCUCUUAGCGAAAAACUGACAUCCUUCGCAACGCCGAACCAGUUUUUCUGCAUCGCUGACCGCGGUCGGCCAGUAAAAACCUGCUCGGAAAGCCUUUCCGACCAGCGUUCUAGAUGCGGCGUGGUUGCCGCAGGAUCCGGCGUGUAUGUCCUCCAAGAGCUUGAUACCAUCGUCUUGGGGUAUGCACUUGAGCAGUACCUCGGAGCUUGCGUUUUUCCGCAUGAGUUUUCCGUCGACCAGGAUGUAGUUCUUUGACCGUCGGAUGAGACGCUCGUUCUCUGUUUUGUCCUGAAAACCUGUCCCGUCUGAGAUGUAUUUGAUGAACGGGACACGCCAGUCGCGCCCGCCGGUUGUCGGAGUGGCGUCAUCUAUGAGCAUUGCCUCGUUGGGUUGCUUGUCGACCAGGGGGGAGCUUACGCUCGGCUCAUGGAUGUCCUGGACGAAAAUACCGCGCGGGAUUUGGGCCCGGGACGAGCCUAACUUUGACAACGCAUCUGCUGCUUGGUUCUUAUCCCGGACCACGUGGAUGUACUCUAUGCCAUAGAAGUUAGUUUCCCAUUUGCGAAUUUCUUUGCAGUAGAGAUCCAUCUUCUCGUGGGUUGCGUCCCACUCCUUGUUGAGCUGGUUGAUGACCAAAGCGGAGUCCCCGUAGACAUAGAGGCGCUUAACCCCCAGCUCAACGGCUAGUCGUACGCCAUGUAAGCAAGCUUCAUAUUCGGCGACAUUGUUUGACGCCGGGAAAAGGAUCCGAAGGACGUAGCGGAGUUUGUCCUUGUUUGGUGAUACGAACAAUAUCCCAGCGCCUGCACCGUUGAUGUUCAAGGACCCAUCAAAGAACAUUGACCAGUGGUCUGAGACAUCGGGAACGGACGGUUCGUUGAGAUCCGUCCAUUCGGCAAUGAAAUCGACCAGGGCUUGGGACUUGACAGUGGUGCGACUCUGAAACUCCAGGGAAAAUGGACAUAAUUCCAUUGCCCAUUUCACGAUUCUGCCAUUGGCGUCUUUAUUGCGCAGGAUGUCACCGAGGGGAAAGCUGGUUGUCACCAGGACUCGAUGGCCGUCGAAGUAGUGCUUCAGUUUUCUUGACGUUAUCAGGAUGGCGUAUAUAAGCUUCUGUAUUUGUGGGUACCUGGCCUUGGAUUCGUUUAAAACUUCGCUUAUGAAGUAAACGGGCCUCUGGACCUUGAAGACGUGACCUGGUUCAUCUCGCUCGACCACUAUUGCCGUGGAAACAACUCUGUCGGUUGCAGCAAUGUAAAGGAGCAGGUCUUCGUUGGGCUGAGGCGCUGUGAGAACAGGCGGUGAAGUGAGGAAGGUCUUAAGCUGAGUGAACGCAGCGUCGGCGUCUUCUAUCCAGGAGAAUUUUUCUGACGCUUUCAAUAGUUUGAAAAAGGGGAGGCCUUUUUCUCCCAGCCUUGAGAUGAAACGACUGAGAGCGGCCAUGCAUCCGGUUAGCUUCUGAAUAUCCUUGACGUUCUUCGGUGGUCGCAUGUCGAGUACGGCUUUGACUUUUGAAGGGUUUGGCCGUAUGCCGUCGCAACUGACGACGUUGCCGAGCAGUAGACCGGAAGGAACGCCGAAAAUGCAUUUCUUGGGGUUGAGCUUCCACUUGUACCUAUUGAGUGCCUUGAAGGUUCGGUCUAAGUUGUCGAUUAGGGUGCUCGCAUCCCUUGUUUUUACGACCACGUCGUCCACAUAGGCCUCGACGAGGUCGUCGCGAAUCUCGUCGUGGAGGCAUUGCUGGAUGGCCCUUUGAUAAGUGGCCCCGGCGUUUUUAAGUCCGAAAGACAUGGUAGUGUAACAGUAUGCGCCGAAAGGUGUGAUGAAGGAUGUUUUGAUCUGAUCUUCUUCUUUUAACGAGAUCUGGUGAUAACCAGAGUAGCAAUCUAGAAAGGAGAGGAGUUCGCAUCCGGCCGUUGAGUCGACCACCUCGUCGAUGCGAGGAAGACCAAAAGGAUCUUUAGGACAGUGUUUGUUGAGAUCGGUGUAAUCAACGCACAUUCUCCAUUCAUUAUUCUUUUUGCGUACAAGAACCGGAUUGGCGAGCCAAUCGGGAUGAUACACCUCUUUUAUGAAUCCGGCUGCUAGAAGCCGUGUUAUUUCUGUCCUAAUAGCCUCCUUUUUGUCACGAGCGAACCGUCGCAGUUUUUGCUUGAUUGGUCUUGCGGUCUUCGAGACGUUUAAGGAGUGCUCGAUCAGGUUCCGUGGGACGCCGGGCAUGUCUGCGGGUUUCCAUGCGAAAACGCUCACGUUGUCCCUUAGAAACCUGACGAGCGCGUCUUCCUAUUUUGGAUCCAGGUUAGCCCCGAUGAGGGCUGUCUUCUCGGGGUUGCCCUCGACCAGCUGCACUUCUUUGUACUCCUUGGAUUUCGAAUUCUUUCUGGCUGUCUCCUGCUCAGGUAAUCGGAGCUGGUCGGGGGGCAGCUGUGCGGCUUGGUUUGCUGUUUCCGCCAUGCGGAUUGAGAGGUCAAUUGCCUCGGUGAUCUUGAAACUUUCUUCUUCGCAGGUGUACGCAGUGUAGACGUUGCCUCUGACGGUCAGGACACCCUUCUCCGUGGGCAUCUUAAGCACUAGGUACGAGUAGUGCGGGACUGCCAUGAACUUUGUCAGCGAUGGGCGGCCCAGUAUGGCGUGGUAGGUCCCGUCGAAGUCCGCGACUACGAAGUUGAUGAACUCCGUCCGGAAGUGAUCGGGUGUGCCGAAUUGGACAGGCAAUGUUAUCUGUCCGAGGGGCACCGAACUUUGACCUGGCAAAACCCCCCAGAAUUGGGCGUCGUAAGGUUUUAGUUGGGCCGGUGAUAUCUUGAGGGCGGGCAGGCUGUUGCGGAAGAGGAUGUCAAUGGAGCUUCCCCCGUCCACGAGCACGCGCUCGAAUCUGAUGCUGUUGAUGCAAGGAUCGAGAAUUAGUGGGAAACGACCCGGCUCCGGGAUAGCGGCCCACUGGUCCUUCCUGCUGAACGCGAUCUCCCUAUGGGACCAGGCGGGAAAUUUCAGAUCUGCGAUCAGCCCGUCCGUGCUGUCUAUGUUGAGGCAGGCUCUCUUCAACAGCUUUCUUUCUCGCUUGGACUCAGUGGAGACCUUGCCCCCGAAAAUGGAGUGGACCACGUCGGUGGGGCUGACGUAUUGGUGUCGGGGGUCCCUGUCUUGGUCCUCGUCCUCAUCUUCGUGGUCGUGCCCGUCGCGUUUGUUACUUUUCUUGGCGGUGUCUUCUUGGGCGGCCCGCCGUGUAUAGAUAUUUUUGAGGACGCGGCACUCUUCCAUGGUAUGGUUAGACUUUGGAUGUAGCUGGCACGGUCCCUUCAACGUUUUGUUGUAGUCGUCUUGGUAGUCCCGUCGUCCAUUGGGACGUUUGACCGUGUUUACUUCGUGGUCGUAUUCGCGAGGGCGCUUUCCUCUGAAGUCGUCGCGGCUGUCGCGCCGCCGAUCCCAACCCUCUCGGUGAUCGCGGUUGUCGGAGCGACGGUGAUUUCUGUUGUCGUAGCGGCCGCGACCGUCGUCUCGCCGGGAGGGCUGGUCGGUGCCUCUCGCAUCGUCUCGGAUUAGUUUUUCUGCGUCAUCAGCAUCGGCAUAAUUUUUAGCCGUGGCGAGGAGCUCUGCUACUGUUGAUGGACGUUUACGCAACAGCUUGUUCCUCAGCGCUUCAUGGAAACGUAAGCCCUUGAUAAAGGCUGAUAUGGCCUCGUCAUGAGAAAUCUUCGGGAUUUUGAGACGCAUAUCCGAGAAUCGUCGGAUGUAAUCACGCAGAGGUUCAUUCUUCCUGUCUCUUAUCCUUUCAAGGUCAUACUUGUUUCCGGGCUGUUCGCAUGUGGCGAUGAAGUUGUCAAUGAAAGCCUGUCGUAGUUCUUCCCAAGAGUCGAAGGAGUCCUCGGGCAAGCCGAGAAGCCACUGAUGACCAGCCUGGUCGAGGACUACGGGGAAGUAGUUAGCCAUGACGUGCUCAUCUCCUGCCGCUGAUCGGACGGCGAUUUCGUAGAGGGUGAUCCAGUUCUCUGGAUUUUCCUUGCCGUCGUAUUUUUUAAGUUUUUCGAGCUUGAAAUUUCUGGGCCACACGACCUGGCGGAGGUGUGAGGAGAACUGCCUUAGGCCCGGGGGACCAUGGGUCGCAUCGUACUCGAUGCGGCGUAGGUUUUCGUGGACUGCUCUCUCUGCGGCGCGCCUGUUGAUGCGGUCCCGGGCAUCUUUGGGAGGGAUGUUGUGGCGGAGAUCCCUGUGUUGAUCUUCUUCUUCCUGGCCGCGUACGCGGUUCUGCUGGCGGCGGCCAUCGGCGUCUCGACCACCAUCGUCGCGCCGUGAGUCCCCUCGACGGUUGUCGGGGGAGCGCCUGCGGCGACGCCUGCUGGGCGAGGCCCGGCUACGAUGAGUCUGGUCGGAGGCGGCUUCCGUAUAAGGGACGUCCUGGACUCUCUUAAGCAGAGUUGCUGUCUGUCCCAUCGCGGCGAUCAGGUGUGCUCGGAUACUGGUCCGGACCCCCUGGCAUUCUGGUGUGUCAGGAAGCCGAUCCAGGUUGGCCAUGGCAACAGCCACGUUGGCGCUUGGCGUUUUGUAGACCGGCUGGUCCCCGACCAUGUCAAAGGCAUCGUUGAGGUUACCCGGUGGCGUCUGUUGUUGCUCGUCCGCACGCCGUCGGGCGCGAUCGGCGUUACGCUGUUCGCGGAGUUGCCUCUGGUCGUCUGUUUCUCCGUCAACAACCGGUUCGUCGGCGCUGACAUUGAAUACAAUAUCCCCUCGCCGGGGGGGGGGAAUAUCGGGAACCGGUCGAAACCCGGAGGGUGUGAAGGGAAAUCCAGGUCGUAGCCCUCGUCUUCGGUGUUUAUAACCUCGGUGGGGACGGAGCCGGUGCUUGAGUUGGUGCUGGAAACCUGGCCGUUCCGUAGCUCUCGGAUUGUCACCAUGUUGACAUGGUGACGAUUGUUCCUUGUCGGCGACCAGCCCGCUUUGCUGAAAACGGAUUGAACAUGCUGUGAGUAGACAGAGGCCGAGUUAUUCAGGCCGCAAGGAUGGUCUCCCUUUUUGAGCUCGACGGAUCGGCCUGAGGAGGUUGAGGUUAUCGCCAGGGACGUUCCCAGCCGUUCGUGUGUGGUGACACGAGUUGGCCGGCGGGAUUUCGAAAAAUCCGCUUGAGUGGCUUGGUCGGGCCGGCGCAGAAUUCCAUCUAUUAGUUGGGAGACUUCGAGCAGCUUGGAGUCGGCGCGAUCGAGCGCUUGGAGGAGGUCCGAGCAGUCGAUCUCCUUUCCCUUGUAGAGUGGGAACGGUGGCCGGGAGUUUGGUGCCGUCAUGCGUGUGGUCGGAGACGGCGUGAUCUCAGAUUGGAUCUGGAUCUCUUUCGGGACCGUGGUCGGGAAGCCGCCGCUGCACGUCGUCCACGUGAUCUGGCCGACGGUAAACGUGAGGCCUUCGGGCACGGUCGCGGAAGCUGGGAUCGUGACCAUCUUGUUCGCCGGAAAAGUUGCACGCACACCCCCUACCUGGCGCGCCACUGUCGACGAAAGCUGGUCGGCAGUCUACCUUGGGGUAUACCCACGGUAGUAGUUUAUCGGUAGACGGUGCGCAAACUACGAACUCGAUGGUGACGCAAGACACGGACAAGCUUUUUAUCCAGGUUCGGCCGCCGAGUUGGCGUAAUACCUACGUCCUGCGUCUGGUUGUAUUGGAUUGUGUUUAGAGAUAAUCUACCCUAGGGGGUCCCCUUGCCCCUCCUUAUAUAGUCUGGAGGGCAGGGUUACAGAUCUAGAAACUAAUCCUAGCCGGUUACAAUUGCCAUAGAUAAUUCGAUAUCAAUUCCUAUUCUAACCGACUAGAAUCCUGCUUGAUCUCCACGUCCUGUUUCCUUGCGCGAAACUCGGGCUAUCGGAUCAAGCCUUGAACUCGUCUCGUAGUGGGCCAAGCUUCCUAGCUGAAGUCUAGCCGUAAGGGUAUAGGGGUUUAUACCCCCACACCGUGCGUUCUCCUCCCCUUUAUGCCCGCGCCUCCGUGUACGGCCCGCCCAUAGCUCCUUCGACGGCGCCGCCUAGGAACGCGGAGAAAAUAUGACAAAGGAACGGCCAAAAAUAAAAAGAAAGACCUUUCUUUUGAAAAAACAAACAAAUAAAAGGAAUGCAACACGAGGACUUCCCAGGAGGUCACCCAUCCUAGUACUACUCUCGCCCAAGCACGCUUAACUUCGGAGUUCUGAUGGGAUCCGGUGCUUUAGUGCUGGUAUGAUCGCAUCCGACAUACCGUGCGUUCUCCUCCCCUUUAUGCCCGCGCCUCCGUGUACGGCCCGCCCAUAGCUCCUUCGACGGCGCCGCCUAGGAACGCGGAGAAAAUAUGACAAAGGAACGGCCAAAAAUAAAAAGAAAGACCUUUCUUUUGAAAAAACAAACAAAAAAAAGGAAUGCAACACGAGGACUUCCCAGGAGGUCACCCAUCCUAGUACUACUCUCGCCCAAGCACGCUUAACUUCGGAGUUCUGAUGGGAUCCGGUGCUUUAGUGCUGGUAUGAUCGCAUCCGACAUACCGUGCGUUCUCCUCCCCUUUAUGCCCGCGCCUCCGUGUACGGCCCGCCCAUAGCUCUUUCGACGGCGCCGCCUAGGAACGCGGAGAAAAUAUGACAAAGGAACGGCCAAAAAUAAAAGAAAGACCUUUCUUUUGAAAAAACAAACGCCUCCGUGUACGGCCCGCCCAUAGCUCCUCCGACGGCCCCGCCUAGGAACGCGAAGAAAAUAUGACAAAGGAACGCCCAAAAAUAAAAAGAAAGACCUUUCUUUUGAAAAAACAAACAUUAAAAAGGAAUGCAACACGAGGACUUCCCAGGAGGUCACCAAUCCUAGUACUACUCUCGCCCAAGCACGCUUAACUUCGAAGUUCUGAUGGGAUCCGGUGCUUUAGUGCUGGUAUGAUCGCAUCCGACAUACCGUGCGUUCUCCUCCCCUUUAUGCCCGCGCCUCCGUGUACGGCCCGCCCAUAGCUCCUUCGACGGCGCCGCCUAGGAACGCGGAGAAAAUAUGACAAAGGAACGGCCAAAAAUAAAAAGAAAGACCUUUCUUUUGAAAAAACAAACAAAAAAAAGGAAUGCAACACGAGGACUUCCCAGGAGGUCACCCAUCCUAGUACUACUCUCGCCCAAGCACGCUUAACUUCGGAGUUCUGAUGGGAUCCGGUGCUUUAGUGCUGGUAUGAUCGCAUCCGACAUACCGUGCGUUCUCCUCCCCUUUAUGCCCGCGCCUCCGUGUACGGCCCGCCCAUAGCUCCUUCGACGGCGCCGCCUAGGAACGCGGAGAAAAUAUGACAAAGGAACGGCCAAAAAUAAAAAGAAAGACCUUUCUUUUGAAAAAACAAACAAAAAAAAGGAAUGCAACACGAGGACUUCCCAGGAGGUCACCCAUCCUAGUACUACUCUCGCCCAAGCACGCUUAACUUCGGAGUUCUGAUGGGAUCCGGUGCUUUAGUGCUGGUAUGAUCGCAUCCGACAUACCGUGCGUUCUCCUCCCCUUUAUGCCCGCGCCUCCGUGUACGGCCCGCCCAUAGCUCCUUCGACGGCGCCGCCUAGGAACGCGGAGAAAAUAUGACAAAGGAACGGCCAAAAAUAAAAAGAAAGACCUUUCUUUUGAAAAAAAAAACAAAAAAAAGGAAUGCAACACGAGGACUUCCCAGGAGGUCACCCAUCCUAGUACUACUCUCGCCCAAGCACGCUUAACUUCGGAGUUCUGAUGGGAUCCGGUGCUUUAUUGCUGGUAUGAUCGCAUCCGACAUACCGUGCGUUCUCCUCCCCUUUAUGCCCGCACCUCCGUGUACGGCCCGCCCAUAGCUCCUUCGACGGCGCCGCCUAGGAACGCGGAGAAAAUAUGACAAAGGAACGGCCAAAAAUAAAAAGAAAGACCUUUCUUUUGAAAAAACAAACAAAAAAAAGGAAUGCAACACGAGGACUUCCCAGGAGGUCACCCAUCCUAGUACUACUCUCGCCCAAGCACGCUUAACUUCGGAGUUCUGAUGGGAUCCGGUGCUUUAGUGCUGGUAUGAUCGCAUCCGACAUACCGUGCGUUCUCCUCCCCUUUAUGCCCGCGCCUCCGUGUACGGCCCGCCCAUAGCUCCUUCGACGGCGCCGCCUAGGAACGCGGAGAAAAUAUGACAAAGGAACGGCCAAAAAUAAAAAGAAAGACCUUUCUUUUGAAAAAACAAACAAAUAAAAGGAAUGCAACACGAGGACUUCCCAGGAGGUCACCCAUCCUAGUACUACUCUCGCCCAAGCACGCUUAACUUCGAAGUUCUGAUGGGAUCCGGUGCUUUAGUGCUGGUAUGAUCGUAUCCGACAUACCGUGCGUUCUCCUCCCCUGAAUGCCCGCGCCUCCGUGUACGGCCCGCCCAGAGCUCUUUAGAUGGGACUUCCGAUGGAAUCGGAGACAAUAGGACAAAGGAACGGCCAAAAAUAAAAAGAAAGACCUUUCUUCCGAAAAAACAAACGCCUCCGUGUACGGCCCGCCCAUAGCUCCUUCGACGGCGCCGCCUAGGAACGCGGAGAAAAUAUGACAAAGGAACGGCCAAA